rnacentral:lncRNA from 1 species
UAUUGACAAUUUGAUAAAGAUGCAGAUGAGAAUGCCUUUUCAUAUUUUCAGAUUAAUUGUUUGUGUAAGGACAUUAUCCUUUUCCUUCUUUGGAAAGCUUUCCAGUGACGUCUAUUUGCAAGGAUGAUAAUUUUCAUAUCCGCCAAUUUAAUAUGAUAUCAUAAGCAGUUCAAAAACAAGAAAAUAAUUAAAAUAAAUAAAUAAAUAAAUAAGUGGUCUUGUAUGAAGUUUUGUUUUUUUCUUUUUAUUUUUUCCUGCAGGAAAACAAUAAUCUACUUCCUGACCUGCUUGAAUUAUUGGGUGGAAAAGAAGUUAACUCACUAUCCCAGUUCCAUGCAGGUUUCCUAUGAAGGAGAUUUACUAAAACAUGAUGGUCAGCGCUGCUUUUUCUUCCACUCUUGCCAGGGGCCAGAAUGCUUCUGAAUUGAGAGACCUAGCUGGAAAUAUUGGUUGCUUCUGAUGCCUGCAUCCUCACAGAGGAACUGAGAUUCCUAUCUGAACUACGGAUUUCAUGAAGCAUCAGGAGGUUACCAGAUACUGUGUGCAUGCUCCUGCAGCCCUUCCGUCUACACAGCCAGACCCUGGGACCUGAAGUCCUUCCUCCUCCCUCUUAAAGUAAAGAACUGGUGACAAUAGAUUCCCCUUGUCAAAAAUUAUGUUUAUUGUUUAAAUGU